rnacentral:rRNA from 1 species
AGGACGAACGCUGGCGGCGCGCUUAACACAUGCAAGUCGAACGGAGCUUACGUCCUUCGGGUGUAAGCUUAGUGGCGAACGGGUGCGUAACACGUGAGUGACCUGCCCUUGUGCGGGGGAUAACCGCGGGAAACCGCGGCUAAUACCGCAUGACAUCUCUUGCUCACCUGGGCGAGGGAUCAAAGGUGCUUUAUUGCACUGCGCAGGGAGGGGCUCGCGGCGUAUCAGCUAGACGGUAGGGUAACGGCCUACCGUGGCGAUGACGC